rnacentral:rRNA from 1 species
GAUGAACGCUGGCGGCGUGCCUAACACAUGCAAGUCGAAGGGGAAGGUUUGAUUUCGAUUGAACUGGAGACUGGCGAACGGGUGAGUAACACGUAGCUAACCUGGCCUCAAGGGGAGGAUAACGAGUGGAAACGCUUGCUAAUACUCCAUAAGCUCACGAGGGGUAGACACCUAGUGAGAAAACGCGAUUAGUACUUGGGGAUGGGGCUGCGGCCCAUCAGCUAGUUGGUGAGGUAAAAGCUCACCAAGGCGACGACGGGUAGGGGACCUGAGAGGGUGACCCCCCACACUGGGACUGAGACACGGCCCAGACUCCUACGGGAGGCAGCAGUGAGGGAUAUUGCACAAUGGGCGCAAGCCUGAUGCAGCGACGCCGCGUGGGUGAAGAAGGUUUUCGGAUCGUAAAGCCCUUUUCUUGGUGACGAGAGAGGACGGUAGCCAAGGAAAAAGUGUCGGCUAACUACGUG